ACUUAAAUAGCUUAAAUAUUAGAGCGUAGCAUUGAAGCUGCUGAGGUGACAUAUUGUCUUUGGGUA
rnacentral:tRNA from 1 species